AUGCACGCUGGCGGCGUGCCUAAUCCAUGCACGUCGAGCGAACAGACGAGGAGCUUGCUCCUCUGACGUUAGCGGCGGACGGGUGAGUAACACGUGGAUAACCUACCUAUAAGACUGGGAUAACUUCGGGAAACCGGAGCUAAUACCGGAUAAUAUAUUGAACCGCAUGGUUCAAUAGUGAAAGACGGUUUUGCUGUCACUUAUAGAUGGAUCCGCGCCGCAUUAGCUAGUUGGUAAGGUAACGGCUUACCAAGGCAACGAUGCGUAGCCGACCUGAGAGGGUGAUCGGCCACACUGGAACUGAGACACGGUCCAGACUCCUACGGGAGGCAGCAGUAGGGAAUCUUCCGCAAUGGGCGAAAGCCUGACGGAGCAACGCCGCGUGAGUGAUGAAGGUCUUCGGAUCGUAAAACUCUGUUAUUAGGGAAGAACAAAUGUGUAAGUAGCUAUGCACGUCUUGACGGUACCUAAUCAGAAAGCCACGGCUAACUACGUG
rnacentral:rRNA from 1 species